CAAUAGCGUAUAUUAAAGUUGUUGCGGUUAAAAAGCUCGUAGUUGGAUUUCUGCCGAGGACGACCGGUCCGCCCUCUGGGUGAGUAUCUGGCUCGGCCUGGGCAUCUUCUUGGAGAACGUAGCUGCACUUGACUGUGUGGUGCGGUAUCCAGGACUUUUACUUUGAGGAAAUUAGAGUGUUUCAAGCAGGCUUACGCCUUGAAUACAUUAGCAUGGAAUAAUAAGAUAGGACCUCGGUUCUAUUUUGUUGGUUUCUAGAGCUGAGGUAAUGAUUAAUAGGGAUAGUUGGGGGCAUUCGUAUUUCAUUGUCAGAGGUGAAAUUCUUGGAUUUAUGAAAGACGAACUUCUGCGAAAGCAUUUGUCAAGGAUGUUUUCAUUA
rnacentral:rRNA from 1 species